GCGUGGGUAGUAUAAUGGUUAUUAUCUCGGUUUCCCAUUUACCGAGGACCCGAGUUCGAUUCUCGGCUCACGCA
rnacentral:tRNA from 1 species